rnacentral:rRNA from 1 species
AGAGUUUGACUCUGGCUCAGGAUGAACGCUAGCGAUAGGCUUAACACAUGCAAGUCGAGGGGCAGCGAGAUGUAGCAAUACGUCGUCGGCGACCGGCGAAUGGGUGAGUAACACGUAUGCAACUUACCUCUUAGUGGUGAAUAACCCGAUGAAAGUCGGACUAAUACACCAUACUCUCCUUAGAUCACAUGAGAAGAGGAGGAAAGAUUAAUCGCUAAGAGAUAGGCCUGCGUUCCAUUAGCUAGUUGGUAAGGUAACGGCUUACCAAGGCAACGAUGGAUAGGGGGACUGAGAGGUUGACCCCCCACAUUGACACUGAGAUACGGGUCAAACUCCUACGGGAGGCAGCAGUGAGGAAUAUUGGUCAAUGGGCGAGAGCCUGAACCAGCCAAGUAGCGUGCGGGAUGAAGGCCCUUGUGGUCGUAAACCGCUUUUAUCAGUGAAUAAAGUGCACCACGUGUGGUGUCAUUGCAGGUAGCUGAAGAAAAAGGACCGGCUAAUUCCGUGCCAGCAGCCGCGGUAAUACGGAAGGUCCGGGCGUUAUCCGGAAUUAUUGGGUUUAAAGGGAGCGCAGGCGGGAGUAUAAGUCAGCUGUUAAAUAUCAGAGCCCAACUCUGUUAUGCAGUUGAAACUAUAUUUCUUGAGUACGCACAGGGAUGGCGGAAUUCAGGGUGUAGCGGUGAAAUGCUUAGAUAUCCUGAAGAACUCCGAUCGCGAAGGCAGCCAUCCGGAGCGUAACUGACGCUGAGGCUCGAAGGUGCGGGUAUCGAACAGGAUUAGAUACCCUGGUAGUCCGCACGGUAAACGAUGAAUACUCGCAGUUCGGCCGUUUAGGUCGAGUUGUCCAGCGAAAGCGUUAAGUAUUCCACCUGGGGAGUACGCCGGCAACGGUGAAACUCAAAGGAAU